rnacentral:rRNA from 1 species
CCUACGGGGGGCAGCAGUGGGGAAUAUUGCACAAUGGGGGAAACCCUGAUGCAGCGACGUCGCGUGAGUGAAGAAGUAUUUCGGUAUGUAAAGCUCUAUCAGCAGGGAAGAAAAUGACGGUACCUGAUUAAGAAGCCCCGGCUAACUACGUGCCAGCAGCCGCGGUACUACGUAGGGGGCAAGCGUUAUCCGGAUUUACUGGGUGUAAGGGGAGCGUAGACGGCAGCACAAGUCUGGAGUGAAAUGCCGGGGCUUAACCCCGGAACUGCUUUGGAAACUGUGCAGCUAGAGUGCAGUAGAGGUAAGUGGAAUUCGUAGUGUAGCGGUGAAAUGCGUAGAUAUUAGGAGGAACACCAGUUGCGAAGGCGGCUUACUGGACUGUAACUGACGUUGAGGCUCGAAAGCGUGGGGAGCAAACAGGAUUAGAUACCCGUGUAGUC